rnacentral:rRNA from 1 species
ACUGGUUGUAAUAGACCUCUAAAUAAUAUACAACUUUUAGCAACGGAUCUCUUGGCUCUCGCAUCGAUGAAGAACGCAGCGAAAUGCGAUAAGUAAUGUGAAUUGCAGAAUUCAGUGAAUCA